UUUCCUCCACUGAUAACUUGAGUGUGGUUUUGUCUAGCAUUUCAAGGUUGAGAAGUGGAAGAUGGGUAUUCAGUAUAAAAUAUGGAAAUAAGAGUGAGGGAAAGCCUGCAGACUCAGUGAUGGUCUAAGUCCAUGUAUGAUAAAUGAAAAUUUCUCAGAAGUACAAAAGAUUUCUCUCAGAAGAUUAAAUACCUCCUAAAAAGCUUAUGAAAUUAAAGUCCAAUUUUUUUAAGAACAUCAUCCUUGGAUUGAAAGGUUGAAUCAAAAGCAUGAUAAUUAAAUUUACCUAUAAUACAAAGUUAUGAGCUAUUGCAAGGGUGAAGUGAUAGAUUUUCAAGAUCACCAGUUUGGUUCUGAAGCUGGUCCUCAUUUACUCCUCUGCCUUUCAUUGCAGCUCUAGUUACCCACAUAUUUCCUUUAAUGUGUUAAAUCAGUAAUGCCCAUGGACUUGGUCUCUGCAGGGUCACUCUUAGGCAGAGGUCUCCACGUGUGUUUUAAAGGUAUAAAUAUCUGCCCUUACCUCUGCCAUGGUUCCUGGAAUUUAAUCAUCAAUUGAAAGUAGUAUGUCUAUAAGGGCAGAGCAUUAUGUAUAAUGUAAAUUCCAUGCAAUUUGCUGCCUUCUUUUGUGGAUUUCCUGCUAGCACCAGUCAGAGAUUAGAGGCAGCUGGAGUGGGAGAAAGGUGGCUCAUAUACAUACAUUUAUAACCUAUAGAACCACCAAUCAAAAUUUAUUAUCUUUCCUCAUCUCCCUAACCACUAAUUACUUUUUAUACAUUACCUCUUUUUACUUACUAUCCCCUAAUUCAUGUUCAUUUUAUUUUUAUUUUAUUUUUUUUUAGAGGCAGGGGUCUUGCCAUGUUUCACAGGCUGGUCUUUAAUUCCUGGCCUUAAGCAAUCCGCCUCGGCCUCCCAAAGUGCUGGGACUAUAGAUGUGAGCCACUGUAUCUGGCCCUCUAAGUUCAUUGUAAACUGGCUUCUCCUUUAUACAAACUAAAACUUAAAGCCACAUGAAUGAUUAAGCCUAGCCUCUCGCCUCAUUCAGCCAAAUGAUUAUUGAACACGUUUUUCAAUAUGUUUUUUCAGUAUGUUGAGCAUUAAGAAUCCAAAGAUAAAUAGGAGAUUAGAGUCUACCAAAGGAGAAGGCAAUGGGAGUAAAUAUACAAAGUGAUUGGGAAUGAUUGAGAAGUGAGUGAUUUAUUUCAUCAGAGACCUAUAGAGGCCUUCCGGGGACAAUGACGUUUCGGUUUAGUCUUGAGGUAUAUAGGAUAUCUUCAGGUUAAGAAAUUUAAAAAGGACAUCAAAAUGGGAUAUACACACAUAUACACACACAUCACCCACAGACAUAUAUACAUAUGUUUUUAUGGAUAUGUGUGUGUAUACACAGAACCGACAGAUUUCCUCAUAUCUGAAAACAAUAACAUUCAAGAAUAUCUUAAGAGUAUGUAAGUUAUUGAGACUUAACACAUGAGCCCCUAACAGCCAAGUUUAGAUGAGUAGUCAUUCAACAAUCAUCGAGGACUCACAUUCUGCCAGACACUGUGCUAGGUAAGCAUCAAGGACGCAAAGACAGUAAAUACAGGACAUGUUUUCUGCCCUUAAGAAACUCACAGUUUUCCUGAAAACUGGUUAAUCACUAUGGAAAACAGGGUCCAGUGAGAACAGAAUUUUAUGCAAGAACAAGGUGAAGAUGGAGUCGUAACAUAAGACAUCCUUUAGAAAAGAAAGCACAGACUGGUAAUCCCAAAUUGAGAUUUUUCCAGGGCCACUAGGAAAGGCUAAGGAUGCCUUGGAAGACAAAGGGAAGCAAAACUAGAGAAAGGGCUGUUGAAAGAGGACAGACCAAGUAGCAAACAAAUUUUAGCUGAAAUGAACCAAAAAUUCAUCAUUCUAACAGAUGGCUGGUACCCUUUUAGAACUUUUUACUCUGUGAGAUGUGUUACAAGACACUCUUUACAAAAGAGGCAACUAAGUAAUUUCCCCAAGGUUACACAGCAAGGGUGAGAACUGAGGUCUUUCUGAUGCAAAAUCUACCCUCUUUCUACAACACCCAGUUGCCUUUCAGUUUUAUCUCACAAUUGCUACCAGAGGCUCAUUGUUUAACUGGCUUGUCCAUACCCUCUGCAAUACACUGAUCUCAACAAAAAUCAGAAAUGUGUCAAA